GCCAGGCGCAGUGGUGCAUGCCUGUAAUCCCAGCAACUCAGGAGGCUGAGGCAGGAUCCUAAAUUCAAAGGCAGCGUCAGCAACUCACUGAGGCCCUAAGCAAUUUAGGGAGACCCUGUCUCAA
rnacentral:sRNA from 1 species